CAGAUGCUCCUGAAGGCAGCAGACGGCUCCGCACUGAAGAAUGAGACUCUGCGGCUGUUUGUUAGCUCUGGAGACAUUAGUGAGAACCAGACCUUCCUGACGGAUGAGUCUGGCAGAGCCUCCUUCGCGCUGGACACCUCCAGCUGGACCGAGACAGUCGCCCUGCGGGGGCACUUCAAGGAGGCAGGUCCCAGCAUGGAGCGUGAUGGAGUCUCUCCCUGUUACCCGGAUGCCCAUCACAGUGUGGAGCCCUUCUACUCCCGGAUCCGGAGUUUCGUGAAGAUCCGCAGGCUGGGAGAGGAGCUGCCCUGCGGCCAGACUCAGCGGCUCCACGUGGACUAUGUCCUGGCGAGGGAGGCCCUAGGGCGAGGGUCCAAGAGCCUGGAUUUCAUCUUCCUGGUCGUGGCCAAGGGAGCCAUCGCCAGGAUCCUCCACAAGGGGCUGGAACUCAGAAAGGGGGCUGGACUGAAGGGCUCCUUCUCCGUGGAGCUGCCCGUCGGUGCUGAGCUGGCGCCGGCUGCCAAGGUGCUGAGUUACACGGUGCUGCCCGACGGAGAGAUGGCUGCCGACAGCGCCCUGCUGCGCGUGGCCAAGUGCCUCCCCAACAAGGUGAAGCUGGCCUUCUCGCAGGACUGGGCCCUGUCAGGCUCAGAGCUCCAGCUGCGGGUGCAGGCUGCCCCCGGGUCCCUGUGCGCCGUCCGUGCCAUGAAUCGCAGCGUGCUGCUCAUGAAGCCUGAGGCCGAGCUCAGCGUUGACAAGGCAUGCACCUUACAAGGAGCCCCGCCAGGCAGAGUCCUCCCAGUUGGCACCGGUUGCAGAUCCAGGACCAUCGACCUCUCAUCCACUCUGGUGACCGCUCCUGUACAAGGUGGAGUCCUCACAGGUGGCACCAGUCAAUCAGCAGGAUGGUUCCCUUCAGUACUGGUGCUGGGAGAGCUCUGUAUAAGGGGGAGUUCCCCCAGUGACCUUAUACCUGUGCUGAGGCUACCGGUGUGACACGGUACCGCUCCUUCAGAGCCCUCACGUUCCACAUCCCUGUUAGAGUUGGAACCUGAAGGAGAUGGAUGGAAGAGGAGGUGCUGCGCUCGGCACAGGUCUAUAACUUGCUCCCUGAUUUUCGCCAAGGAGACUCCUAUCAAGGGCAUAAGUCAUGUUACUGUCGGUACAGUACUUCGCAGCCAGGUCUACUUCUUCAUUUCCAUGGUGUGCCAGCAACAAUUUGGACACCCCAGAGGCG